rnacentral:tRNA from 1 species
UGUCACGAGCUGGAGUCGAACCAGCACCUCUGGGAAAUGAAUACAAUCCCAGCGAACUACCAUUAAUUCUAAUCGUGAC